rnacentral:rRNA from 1 species
GUAGGGUGCAAGCGUUGUCCGGAAUUAUUGGGCGUAAAGAGCUCGUAGGCGGCUUGUCGCGUCUGCUGUGAAAUCCCGGGGCUCAACCCCGGGCCUGCAGUGUGUACGGGCAAACUGGAGUGCGGUAGGGGAGAUGGAAUUCCUGGUGUAGCGGUGGAUGCGCAGAUUCAGGAGGACACCGAUGGCGAGGCAGAUCUCUGGGCGCUACUGACGCUCAUGAGCGAAACAUGGGGAGCGAACAGGAUUAGAUACCCUGGUAGUCCAUGCCGUAAACGUUGGGAACUAGAUGUAGGGCCUGUUCCACGGGUUCUGUGUCGUAUCUAACGCAUUAAGUUCCCCGCCUGGGGAGUACGGCCGCAAGGCUAAAACUC